rnacentral:rRNA from 1 species
GUGAACGCUGGCGGUAGGCCUAACCCAUGCAGGUCGCACGGCAGCACAGUAAGAGCUUGCUCUUACGGGUGGCGAGUGGCGGACGGGUGAGGAAUACAUCGGAAUCUACUUUUUCGUGGGGGAUAACGUAGGGAAACUUACGCUAAUACCGCAUACGACCUACGGGUGAAAGCAGGGGAUCUUCGGACCUUGCGCGAUUGAAUGAGCCGAUGUCGGAUUAGCUAGUUGGCGGGGUAAAGGCCCACCAAGGCGACGAUCCGUAGCUGGUCUGAGAGGAUGAUCAGCCACACUGGAACUGAGACACGGUCCAGACUCCUACGGGAGGCAGCAGUGGGGAAUAUUGGACAAUGGGCGCAAGCCUGAUCCAGCCAUACCGCGUGGGUGAAGAAGGCCUUCGGGUUGUAAAGCCCUUUUGUUGGGAAAGAAAAGCAGCAGGUUAAUACCCCGCUGUUCUGACGGUACCCAAAGAAUAAGCACCGGCUAACUUCGUG